AGAGGUUGUACUGCCAGCUUAGUCGAAGGAUAAUUUUGUCAUUUCAUAAUUUCAGCCAUUACAAAAGCCCCAUUUCAAAGGGCAUUUCAUCAUUUCACAACAACUUCAGCCAACGCAAAACCCCCCAUUCUACAGGAAAUCUUUGUCGUUUCACACCAAGUUCAACCACCAGAAAACUCAAAACAAAAUUGACGAUGAUAACAACGAAGAACAAGCAAAAGGAUAGAUCUUAAACGUAUACCCUUCUUCCUGCAAAAACUUUCGAUCUUAAGGAUCAGAUUAGUAAAAUUGGGACAAAAGAGACAACACAUCCAACAUGACUGCAGACUUCAGCUGCACUACAAAUAGCCCUUCUGCGUCGCCCCGUCAAGAUACAGGCCUGCUCUUCUUUGCCCUAUGAACUCUAGACACAGUCUUAGGAAUUUUGAGCUUGCAAAACAAAGAUGAGGGAGGGGUAUUAUUGUGGGGUUGAGAGAGAGGGGGAAAAGAGAAAAGCAACAACAAAAACAACAAUAAAUAUAAUAGUAAUAGACUAUGUUUGUAAUUAUGAUUAUAUUUACGAAAAAAUAAUUUAACUAAAUUAUGUAAGAAUAUUAUAUUUAAUUUAAUAAAUUAUAUAAAAAAUAAGAUUAAAAUAAAUAAAUAAAAGGUCCCUGGUAAUCCAAUGCAGGUUGUUUGGGGCAAGUUGAAGGUUGUGAAGGUAGCUAAUAAGGACCUGAACAUGUAUUUAGCAUCAUAUCAGCAGAAACUAGAGGUUGGAAGACAUUAGAGGUUGUACAAGCAGGUAUUGCGGUAAACCCCUGCAAUUCUCAACUCUUUGGUCAGGAAAAGGUUGCUCUGGCGGAAGUGGAGAAAUGGAGUACUAUAGAGGAGCAAGUGUUUAGACAAAAAGCUAUGGCCUUAUAGAUUCAAAGUGGUGAAUCAAACACUAGAUAUUUUCAUGCUUAAUGGAAAAUCAGAUCUAGUAUCAAUGCCAUCACUUCGAUACAUGCUGAAGUUGGUACUAAACUGACUGAUCCUGUUGAUAUUGAAGUUGAAUUCAUCUUAUUUCUUUCCAACCUUAUAGGACAUGAGAGGGAGUGCAUCCUUGUCCUAAUGCUGAGAUAGUCCAGGAGGGCUAUUGCUUAUCUAGGGAACAACAGACACUCCUAAUCCAGUAGGUUACAGCUGAGGAAAUACAGGUAGCAACCAAAGUUAUUCCAAGGGAAAAGGCUCUGAGAGUUGAUAGAUUCCCUAUUGAGUUCUUUUCCACAUGCUGGGAUGAGACUCCUGACCUAUACAGGUAGACUCCAAUUAAUCAAGGCUGUAACUUUCGGUAUGCAAUCAUAUUGGGCUCGGGUUUUUUUUAUCCCAAAGAAGAUGCUGAAAUGUAUUGAGGCUAUAUGCAAAUCUUACUUAUGGACUGGCCAAGCUGAGAUAUCCAAAAA